CUUUGGAAUCACGCGGGAUAUUUAAACUGCUCGUGCCCCGCCCACCUGUGUGAGACACCGGCGUCAUGCUCCUGCAGUUGUUGGUGGCGUUUAAUAAACAAGCGAAUAAACUCGUUAUCAGUUUGACGACUUUAUGUGGGUAUUAAUCGAGUUUGGAGCCACUUGCCGCCGCCAGUCAGCGACUCUGCCCGUCUGCCGCUACUCUUCACCGGCCAUUGGUCGCAACACCUGUCGGCCUAGGAUGGGGACGUUUACCUGGUGGAGCUGCGGAUGCUAGCUAGUAGCUACGACUCUUCACUUCAACUAAUAUCUGUGCGUCUGUACUUGCUGAGGCUCAGACAGCCAUGGCACAUAGGAGGUGGGACGCAAGGAUCCAUCUCCCCAGGAACACUGCCAGCAGAUCCGUGCGCACUGUCUCCUGCGGUGGAGACGCUGGCCUCACUAACCUCUACUCCUCCUGAGUCGGGUCUCCCUCGUGCUGGACUCAGUUUCACUGAGCGU